rnacentral:rRNA from 1 species
GACGAGCGCUGGCGGCGUGCCUAAUACAUGCAAGUUGAGCGCUGAAGGUUGGUACUUGUACCAACUGGAUGAGCAGCGAACGGGUGAGUAACGCGUGGGGAAUCUGCCUUUGAGCGGGGGACAACAUUUGGAAACGAAUGCUAAUACCGCAUAAAAACUUUAAACACAAGUUUUAAGUUUGAAAGAUGCAGUUGCAUCACUCAAAGAUGAUCCCGCGUUGUAUUAGCUAGUUGGUGAGGUAAAGGCUCACCAAGGCGAUGAUACAUAGCCGACCUGAGAGGGUGAUCGGCCACAUUGGGACUGAGACACGGCCCAAACUCCUACGGGAGGCAGCAGUAGGGAAUCUUCGGCAAUAGACGAAAGUCUGACCGAGCAACGCCGCGUGAGUGAAGAAGGUUUUCGGAUCGUAAAACUCUGUUGGUAGAGAAGAACGUUGGUGAGAGUGGAAAGCUCAUCAAGUGACGGUAACUACCCAGAAAGGGACGGCUAACUACGUG